CUUGGAGCUAAAGGUGGUGGCCAAGGCCCUUCUCGGCCCCUUCCAGUUCGUCUGUAAUUCCCUGGCGCAGCUCCGGGAAGAGGUGCACGAACUGCAGGCGCGGUGGUUCCCCAGCAGAACCACUCUGCAUCGGGGAAUUGAAAACAAGGAAUUCCCCAACCAAACAGGGGCACAGGCUGUGUUUGCAGCUCCUGUAAAAGCUCCAUACCCAGAGCCGUGUCUCCCAGCUCCCAGGUGAAGUCUUAUGUAUACAUGGG
rnacentral:lncRNA from 1 species